rnacentral:rRNA from 1 species
GAGUUUGAUCCUGGCUCAGGAUGAACGCUGGCGGCGUGCUUAACACAUGCAAGUCGAACGGGCUCAUAUUGAAACCUAGUGAUGUAUGAGUUAGUGGCGGACGGGUGAGUAACGCGUGGAGAACCUGCCGUAUACUGGGGGAUAACACUUAGAAAUAGGUGCUAAUACCGCAUAAGCGCACAGCUUCGCAUGAAGCAGUGUGAAAAACUCCGGUGGUAUACGAUGGAUCCGCGUCUGAUUAGCUGGUUGGCGGGGUAACAGCCCACCAAGGCGACGAUCAGUAGCCGGCCUGAGAGGGUGAACGGCCACAUUGGGACUGAGACACGGCCCAAACUCCUACGGGAGGCAGCAGUGGGGAAUAUUGCACAAUGGGGGAAACCCUGAUGCAGCGACGCCGCGUGAGUGAAGAAGUAUUUCGGUAUGUAAAGCUCUAUCAGCAGGGAAGAAAAUGACGGUACCUGACUAAGAAGCCCCGGCUAACUACGUGCCAGCAGCCGCGGUAAUACGUAGGGGGCAAGCGUUAUCCGGAUUUACUGGGUGUAAAGGGAGCGUAGACGGCAGCGCAAGUCUGAAGUGAAAUCCCAUGGCUUAACCAUGGAACUGCUUUGGAAACUGUGCAGCUGGAGUGCAGGAGAGGUAAGCGGAAUUCCUAGUGUAGCGGUGAAAUGCGUAGAUAUUAGGAGGAACACCAGUGGCGAAGGCGGCUUACUGGACUGUAACUGA